rnacentral:tRNA from 1 species
GGGGCUAUAGCUCAGCUGGCAGAGCGCUUGCAUGGCAUGCAAGAGGUCGACGGUUCGAUCCCGUCUAGCUCCACCA